CUGUGCUCCGCAACGGAAGAGGCCACAAAAGUGAGAGGCCCACGUACCACAAAAAAAAAAAAAAAAAAAAAACCUUUAAACAUGAUCUACAUUUUUAAUGAUUGUAAACUUAAAAAAAAAAGAAGCUAAAGCAGUUUUCCCCCAAGGCCAGUGAUGAAUCAUCAUCGAACACUGCUUAAAGGAAAAAACAGAUAAGACGUAAUAGGAACACAGUAAAAAUCAUUUUAGAAAAAGCUGAAUUCUUGGCUGCCAACAGAGAAAAUAAACAGUAUCCACCAGCAUGUCCACAAAGACCUCAUGUGACACGGGCAGAGAGAGGCAGACACUGGAGCGGUGGGUCAGAGCCACUGAAGCCCUGGCAGAAGCAGACACUGAAUAUGCUUCCUGAGCAGUUUGCAGAGAAGAUAAAUAUGGAGCGUGACCUCCUGUAACUUCAACUGAAAUGUACAAUUUACAUAUUUCAGAAGAAAAAGACGUGUGGGAACCCCACUGUAAGGCAGCAUCCCAGGAAGCAGGCUUUUCUUCUCCCCUUUCCACAUCCUCACCCAUUUGUUCAAGCAUGUCUGAAGGGCAGCCCUGUACCAUGGUGUACGUGAAGGGGUUAUUUCAUCACCUGUGACUUUGUUUCUCCUAAACGUAGCUCAUCAGCAGGCAAGAGCAAACAAUCACUCUUCUCAAGUACCCAGGAUUAAAACGUAUCAACCCCAAACAAGUUCCCAGACCCCUCCUGUUAUGGCUCCCACAGUCUCCACUGGCACAAUCACCACUAUUCUCAUAUCUGACUGUGGGAUUAUUUGACUUGUCUGACUCCCAUGCUAGACUGCAAGCUUCUGAGGACAUGGACUAUGUCUGCUCUGAUCGCUGCAAUCUCCUCAGGGCCUGUCAUAUCCGAUGACACAUGGCAGGGUUUGUGAAGGGAAGGAGGAAAUGAAGCAUCUUUUGAGUAACACUCACAUUUUUCCAUUUUGGAGAAGAACAGACACCAUCUAAUUCCUGAAUAAAGGCCUGGUGGCUUAAUGAGUUUUCAAUGUUCAACAUCACAGUAAAGCAAAAGAGGACAAAAAAAACCCAGCUGCCAAAUCCCCCGUCAUUAAUCGCCUCCGACUACAUCUCUCUGGAGAGAUGAUGCACUGUUAGGAUCACAGAGAAGGAAAAAGGCAACCCUAGCAGUCGGGUUGUCAAGCAGUGAUGGAGGAAGUUACUCUGUUUUGGAACAAGUGUGUCAGAUAACUGAAGAACACUGAUAUGACAUAAAAUCAGAUUUUCAAAAAUCUCCUCUAUUACAAGUUCUUUUCAUGCCUAAUCAUUUCCAAUGAGAUAAAGCUUCUAUGAGCCAAGGACUUCAAGAGAACAAGACAGAAAAGUCUAGUAAUAAUAAAUACACACACUGGCAAAUGCAUCCGUCCCUGCAGCUUCCACUCCUUAAUUCUGGUGCUCUGGACAGAAUGGUGCCGGCUCCUUUUUCCCAGGCUCUGUCUCCUCUUUUAGGCUUGGCCCCAGACCUCCUUCCCUUUCUAGGAGGUCAGAGUCACAUCCACAGCCUCAAGGACCCCAUUCAGGGCUGGCUUCCUGCCCAGGCCAUUCCCCUAAGCUCCAGACUCACAGGUCCAACUGCCUGCCAGCCACCUACCCCUGGAUGUGUCGAAGGCCAGGCCCUUCAGAAUCAACAUGUCCCAGAUGAGAUUCAUAAUCUCACCCAUCCCCUGACCCCCACACACAGCAGGUCCUUUGCCAGCAAAGACUGUGGCUUUAUCUCCAGUGUCCAGUACGGUGUCUGAUACGUUACAGGUGCUCAGACGAGGCUUUUGGGGCCCCCUACACAGAAUUAACCUCACUCUAACCAUGGCUCCCACAACACUGUUUUUGCAUGUCUGUCUUUCCCAUUAAACCAUGAGGUUCUUGAGGGCAGGUCUGCACCCCUAGGUUCUCCCAUGCUGCCUGGCAUGAGCGGAUGCCCAGUGACUAUUAGCAAGCAAAUUUCUGCCCAAAGCUUUGGCCUUUGCCCAAAUUUUCCUACAAAUGAAGCAACAACUUCUUUCCUCUCUUCUUUAAACUAAACCAGUGCUCAAAUCCUCCCAUAAAAUUGGCCUCCAAAACACUUUCAGUUGUGGAUGACAUAAAUUUCUGUCUCAUAUUUUUCCUGCUGUUUUCUCUACUGGCCUGCAGGCUUCACAGAGGGGCAGGGACAAUGCUCCCUCUGUAACGGGUGCACUAAGAACCAAAGAAGGUGGUCGAAACCUGCUAGGCCUCAGGCCACACCAGUUCAACGGUGGUCCCUCAGGGACGGGGGACACUAUUGCAGGGCAGUGUUCAGUAUCAAUGCAAUGUUUAAGAAAUUGUGGUAUCCACAUAUAAUCUCUCCAUUUAAAUGUACUCCAUUCUAAACUAGUUUUAGAUGUAAUUAUUUUAAAAUGUAACACAAUUAUCACCAGCAAUUAAAAUCGAACCAAGCCACAGACCAAAGGAGGUAGGAAGAGGACAGCAAAUCAUUCAAAAGCUUUAUGUUUUGGAACCAGUGAUGACAUAUAUCACCAGUGAUUUUUCCUUUGGAGACUGGUACGCAUCUAAAUUCUCGAAUAAAGACCAUAUUAGGAGAUUUCAACUAUAAAAAUAUGUGCUUCUGUAACUGUUCACCUUUUUUGUAGUAGACUUUAACCAGCAGCAUUGGAACCAGCUACAAAAGGAAUUGACUUUGCCCCAUUUAUUUGCUUUUGUGACUUAAAGCUGGGGGAGAGGAUAACAAAGUGAUUACAAAUUCCUACUACAGGUAGGCCUUAUUUUAUUAUACUUUGCAGAUACUGUGUUUUUUUUUUUUAUAAAUUAAAGGUCUGUGGCCACCCUGUGCCAAGCAAGUGCCAGUUUCCCAGCAGGAUUCGCUCACUCUGUGUAUCUGUGUCAUAUUUUGGUAAUUCUCACAACAUUUCAAACUUUUUCAUUAUUAUAUUUUUUAGAGUGAUCUGUGAUCAGUGACCUUUGAGGUUACUACUGUAAUUAUUUUGGGGCAUCACAAACCAUGUCCAUAUAAGAUGGCGAACUUAACUGAUUAUGUAAAUGGCAACAAAGGAUCUAGAAUAUGACAAACUUACUUGAUAAAGCAGGGUUUGAGAGAACUGACUCUGAUUUUGAAAGAAGUUCUACUGUGCAUAGAAUGCUAUCAAACAGCACUGCAUGCUACAGAGACAUGGUUCAUGAAAGGAAGAGUCAACUGAUGGGGCAGACAUCACUGCUGUCUCACUUUAAGAACUACCACAGGCACCCCAGCCUUAGCAGCCACCAGCCUGACCAGCCAGCAGCCACCAACACGGAGACAAGGCCCUCCACCAGCCAAAAGGUUACGACUCACUCAGAUGAUGGUUAGCGUUUUUUAGCAAUAAAUCUUUUUUUAAUUAGGGUAUGUUCAUUGUUCUUUUAGACAUAACGCUGUUGCACACUUAACAGACCACGGUACAGUGUAAACAUAACUUUUAUAUGCACUGGGAAAC